UUUAUCGACUUCUGUUCACACUUGUUUGAACUUUUGGCUGAUUUUGGCCGAUGUGGCUAUUAUUAUGCCAAACUAACACAGGGUUGUAUACUGUUGAGCUGGCACACAGAAUAUCACCACUUGUACAAGUAAUUGCUGACAUGGACCAUGUACCAAGGUGGGGCUUUGAGAUCUCCAGUGAC